ACCCCUGCUUCAACUGGACACUUUGACAUGUUUAAACCACUUUCCUCCUUGACCUAUGCCUCUUGACUUAUCCUGGCCAUCAUUUUGCUUCAUUACUACAAUAAAAUACUUUGAUGACUAAUUUAGAUUAUACUAUUGUAGUCAAGGGCAUAAAGUACUAUUUAAUUCAAAGUAGCAUAUAAACCUGAAUUAUCCAAAUCUAGAUCAGUCCUUAACUUCAAGUAUUUUUCCACAUCUUUUGCUAAUUUCUAUACAUUGUUGGCAGCCAUAAAGUACGUUUCAUCCGACUCUGCAGCUCGAGAAUGCAGCUCGAGAAGCUAUUGGAACGAACGUUCUGCAUAAGUCUUUCCUCCGAGUUAAUAACUUUAUUUUAGGAUCUUCAUGUGUGCCUACUUCUUCGAAUGCUAAAACCCAUAUCUUGAGCAUAGGCGUUAUAAAAGCUCUUGUUCACUGCUGAAUUUCAUACUAGUUGUCUUCAUUUUGAAGGAAUUUGCUUGUGGCAUAGCUUCAACUUUACUACGAUCAUGGUUCAUAUACCAAAGUUUCUGUUGGAACAGGUUAUAAAAGAAGCAUUUCUUAGAUGAGAUUUUACUGAAAAGGGACAUGGGUUUUAGAAAUCAAGUCUGAAUGAUUCCUCAUGAACAACUGCGAAAACUUUAUGAGGUCUUACCGUCUUUAAUUCCCCUCCCAGAUUACCAUGAAAGCUACUCGUGUAUCACUCUUUAACAGACCUAAUAACUCUACUUUGGUC
rnacentral:lncRNA from 1 species